UACAGAGGGUGCAAGCGUUAAUCGGAAUUACUGGGCGUAAAGCGUGCGUAGUCGGUUAUUUAAGUCGGGUGUGAAAGCCCCGGGCUCAACCUGGGAAUUGCAUUCGAUACUGGAUAGCUAGAGUUCGGCAGAGGGAAGCGGAAUUUCCGGUGUAGCGGUGAAAUGCGUAGAUAUCGGAAGGAACAUCAGUGGCGAAAGCGGCUUCCUGGACCAGAACUGACGAUCAGGCACGAAAGCGUGGGGAGCAAACAGA
rnacentral:rRNA from 1 species